AUGCAAAGAACUGGUCCCACAGUGAAGCCCUCAGUGUCUCUGCUGCCGCCCUCUUUUCUGCAGAUCUCUGGAGACUCAGCCGCACUGCUCUGCCUGCUCAGCUCUUACUCUCCACAGGGGGCGCUGGUGAGCUGGACACUGGACGGCUCAGAGGUCACCGAGGGGGUUGUGACCAGCGCAGAGAGCGAGCAGGACGGCCGCUACAGCCGCAGUAGUGUCCUGACCCUCAGCAAAUCACGCUGGGAAGCGGGAGAGCUGUAUGUCUGCAGAGUAACACAUGAUGGAGCUCCUCAUGAGGCCUCGUUCCACAAGAGUCGCUGUUAG